rnacentral:rRNA from 1 species
GACGAACGCUGGCGGCGUGCCUAAUACAUGCAAGUUGAGCGAUGAAGAUUGGUGCUUGCACCAAUUUGAAGAGCAGCGAACGGGUGAGUAACGCGUGGGGAAUCUGCCUUUGAGCGGGGGACAACAUUUGGAAACGAAUGCUAAUACCGCAUAACAACUUUAAACAUAAGUUUUAAGUUUGAAAGAUGCAAUUGCAUCACUCAAAGAUGAUCCCGCGUUGUAUUAGCUAGUUGGUGAGGUAAAGGCUCACCAAGGCGAUGAUACAUAGCCGACCUGAGAGGGUGAUCGGCCACAUUGGGACUGAGACACGGCCCAAACUCCUACGGGAGGCAGCAGUAGGGAAUCUUCGGCAAUGGACGAAAGUCUGACCGAGCAACGCCGCGUGAGUGAAGAAGGUUUUCGGAUCGUAAAACUCUGUUGGUAGAGAAGAACGUUGGUGAGAGUGGAAAGCUCAUCAAGUGACGGUAACUACCCAGAGAGGGACGGCUAACUACGUG